rnacentral:rRNA from 1 species
AACGAACGCUGGCGGCAUGCCUAACACAUGCAAGUCGAACGAGACCUUCGGGUCUAGUGGCGCACGGGCGCGUAACGCGUGGGAACCUGCCCUUAGGUUCGGAAUAACUCCCCGAAAGGGGUGCUAAUACCGGAUAAUUUCUUCGGACCAAAGAUUUAUCGCCUUUGGAUGGGCCCGCGUUGGUUUAGCUAGUUGGUAGGGUAAAAGCCUACCAAGGCGACGAUCCAUAGCUGGUCUGAGAGGAUGAUCAGACACACUGGGACUGAGACACGGCCCAGACUCCUACGGGAGGCAGCAGUGGGGAAUAUUGGACAAUGGGCGAAAGCCUGAUCCAGCAAUGCCGCGUGAGUGAUGAAGGCCUUAGGGUUGUAAAGCUCUUUUACCCGGGAUGAUAAUGACAGUACCGGGAGAAUAAGCGCCGGCUAACUCCGUG